rnacentral:rRNA from 1 species
CACCGGCGCCACAAGUGGUGAUCAUAUUUAUUGGGUCUAAAGCGUUCGUAGCCGGUUUGGUAAAUUCUUUGUGAAAUUGUUGAGCUUAACUUAACAAAUUGCAAGGAACACUGCCUGACUUGAGACCGGGAGGGGGUAGAGGUAUUCCAUGGGGAGCGGUAAAAUGCAAUAAUCCUUGGAAGACCACCAGUGGCGAAGGCUUCUAUCCAGAACGGGUCUGACGGUGAGGGACGAAGGCUAGGGGAGCAAAAUGG